AAGGGAAAUUUGUUAAAGCAUACAUCAUGCAGUUUCUCCUCAUCAGAGAAUGGCUUACCGUUUACCAGGGAGUUCUUCCUUCUGGCUUCGAUCCUCAGCCCGUUGGUAGGCAGCUCUGAACACCUCAACAUCCAGAACACGUUGGGAUUUUGUUGAAAAGUCACUCAAGUGUUGGAGAUAAUUUGUAAGAGAUUACAGGAUGACCCCAACGUCAGCAACAAGACCACUCUCAGAACAC